rnacentral:rRNA from 1 species
UACGUAGGGACCAAGCGUUGUUCGGAUUUACUGGGCGUAAAGGGCGCGUAGGCGGCGCGGUAAGUCACUUGUGAAAUCUCUGAGCUUAACUCAGAACGGCCAAGUGAUACUGCAGUGCUAGAGUGUGGAAGGGGCAAUCGGAAUUCUUGGUGUAGCGGUGAAACGCGUAGAUAUCAAGAGGAACACCUGAGGUGAAGACGGGUUGCUGGGCCAACACUGACGCUGAGGCGCGAAAGCCAGGGGAGCAAACGGG